AUAACAAUACAGGACUCCUUUGAGGCCCUGUAAUUGGAAUGACACUUUAAAUCCUUUAACGAGGAUCUAUUGUAGGGCAAGUCUGGUGCAGAGCGACUGGCCCGAGCGUGAUGCAGCUAAAA
rnacentral:rRNA from 1 species